GGGGAGCUGUCUUGUACGUAGCUUCCGUAGGUCUGCCGAGCCAACAUUGUAAUUAAGGGAACUGUCUCUGAGCAAAUCGUGGUUUGUUUAUAUGGUGCCCACCUAGUGACAGCGGUUCGUGUUUGAAUACACUUAUACGGCUAUGAUGGCCCUCCU
rnacentral:other from 1 species